rnacentral:rRNA from 1 species
CAUGCAAGUCGAGCGGACAGAUGGGAGCUUGCUCCCUGAUGUUAGCGGCGGACGGGUGAGUAACACGUGGGUAACCUGCCUGUAAGACUGGGAUAACUCCGGGAAACCGGGGCUAAUACCGGAUGGUUGUUUGAACCGCAUGGUUCAAACAUAAAAGGUGGCUUCGGCUACCACUUACAGAUGGACCCGCGGCGCAUUAGCUAGUUGGUGAGGUAACGGCUCACCAAGGCAACGAUGCGUAGCCGACCUGAGAGGGUGAUCGGCCACACUGGGACUGAGACACGGCCCAGACUCCUACGGGAGGCAGCAGUAGGGAAUCUUCCGCAAUGGACGAAAGUCUGACGGAGCAACGCCGCGUGAGUGAUGAAGGUUUUCGGAUCGUAAAGCUCUGUUGUUAGGGAAGAACAAGUACCGUUCGAAUAGGGCGGUACCUUGACGGUACCUAACCAGAAAGCCACGGCUAACUACGUGCCAGCAGCCGCGGUAAUACGUAGGUGGCAAGCGUUGUCCGGAAUUAUUGGGCGUAAAGGGCUCGCAGGCGGUUUCUUAAGUCUGAUGUGAAAGCCCCCGGCUCAACCGGGGAGGGUCAUUGGAAACUGGGGAACUUGAGUGCAGAAGAGGAGAGUGGAAUUCCACGUGUAGCGGUGAAAUGCGUAGAGAUGUGGAGGAACACCAGUGGCGAAGGCGACUCUCUGGUCUGUAACUGACGCUGAGAGCGAAAGCGUGGGGAGCGAACAGGAUUAGAUACCCUGGUAGUCCACGCCGUAACGAUGA